rnacentral:rRNA from 1 species
AUCCUGGCUCAGGAUGAACGCUGGCGGCGUGCUUAACACAUGCAAGUCGAACGGGAAUUACUUUAUCGAAACUUCGGUCGAUAUGAUUUAAUUCUAGUGGCGGACGGGUGAGUAACGCGUGGGUAACCUGCCUUAUACAGGGGGAUAACAGUCAGAAAUGACUGCUAAUACCGCAUAAGCGCACAGAGCUGCAUGGCUCGGUGUGAAAAACUCCGGUGGUAUAAGAUGGACCCGCGUUGGA